rnacentral:lncRNA from 1 species
AUGUGGGUUCCUUUUAAAUGAGAAUCUGCCAAUUUUUGUUUUGGUUGUGGAAGAAUGGGACAUGGACUUGCAGAUUGUACUCAAAUAAUACCUACAAGAAAAAGCAAAAUCAGCAGUGAUCCACCUUAUUCAAUGGCUUUAAAAGCAUAGUCAAAACAAGUUGGGAAAGAAAGUAUGUAGUUUAUUACUAUGUAGAGGUUUGCAGGGGUUCAGAGCUCAUACACAGGAGGUCAAGAAGUGCUGACAGGAAGUUCCAAAGAAUUUGAAAAGAAAAAGCAGGAGUUGAAAGAAAUCCAAGAGAAUAUAGAGAUGAUGGGAGAGAAAGAUUUGUUGAAGCAGCAGGAAAACAAAUUUGGGAUAGAGGAGGUCGUGAAUAUCGAUAAUAGCAAAGCAUAAGAGUGUACAGACAUUAAUCAUGAAAAGAGUUGGAAAAGUAUUAAAACAAUAGACAUGGAGGUAAAAGUAGCAGAUGCUAAUAGAAUGAGGAAGCGAAAGUUCACAGAAGAAGGUAGCCCGAUGAGUGGUGAAAGGGAUGGAAUUAAAAGAGUGAAAUUGGCUGAAGUGGAAGAAUGUGAAAGCGUCUGCUCAGAAGGGAUGAUGGAGAGUGCGAAGCAAAUAGAGGUACAAAAUUUAUCAAGAUCGGCGGCUGCCAAUAGGCAAGCCGACCGGGCGUUAUGAAAAUAAUAAGCUGGAAUGUUCGUGGAUUGGGGAGUCCACGAGUAGUGAGGAGGCUUUGCUUCCUUUUAAAGCAACACAAUCCCAAAAUGGUCUUCUUAGUAGAGACAAAGUUAGAUAAACAUCAUAUGGAAAAAGCUAAAAGGCGAUGUGGUUUCAACAAUGGUAUCGAUAUUGAAGCUGAGGGUAUGCGAGGUGGAUUAAACUUAGCAUGGAAAGGAGAAAUUGAAGUUUGUUUACAAAGUUAUUCCAAAAACCAUAUUGAUGUUAUGAUAAAAUGAGGUGACGCUGAUGUUGAAGUCGAAUGAAAAUUCACGGGGUUUUAUGGUUCGCCCUAUGUUAAAGAUAAAUGUGCUACGUAGAACUUGUUAAAGAAAUUGGGAGAAGAUAGGAGUCAUCCCUGGAUGGUAUGCGGUGAUUUUAAUGAGAUACUUUAUUCCUAUGAAAAACACGGAGGUGCACCAAGGGAGGAGAGUUGAAUGGAGGCGUUCAGAGAGGCUCUAGGAGAUUUUUUACUUGAAGAUAUGGGUUAUUUAGGGGUCUGGUUUACUUGGGAGAGGGGAAUUUCACUAGAGACGAAUAUUAGAGAGAGACUUGAUAGGGGGUGGCAAACAACAAGUAGAAGCUAUUAUUUCCAGCAGGUAUCAUCAAGCAUUUAACUCAUUCUAUGUCUGAUCAUUGUCCAAUUCUUGUUAAUACAAAAUGUAGAGACAAUCAUAAAGGCAAUGAAAGAUUCAAAUUUAAGGUAUGGUGGAUUCUGGAAGAUACAAUUGAGGAAGUAGUUAGAGAUUCCUGGAAGUCAGGAGUCGGUACAGUUUCUGAUAAGCUCGAAAGAUUAAAGAUUGAUUUAAGGGUAUGGGAAAAUUCAAUAAAAGAACGAAGAGAAGGCUUGAAUUUUUAAAGGAGCAAGAUAGGAGUGAUGAAGUCAUUGGAGAAAUGAUCGAUACCAGAAUUCAUUUAAAUAUGGAAAUUGAGAAGGAUGAGCUCUAUUGGGAACAAAGGGCAAGGGCAAACUGGCUUAAGGCAGGAGACCAAAAUACGACUUUUUUUCUUAGAUUAGCCACAAUGCGAAGGAAAAUUAAUACAAUUUCAAGGUUAGAUAUGGGUGAUGAGAAAGAGGCUAAUGAAGCUAGUGAGAUUAAUGAAGUGGCUACCAGGUACUUUCAGAACUUAUUUACAUCAAGUGAAGUAGGAGAUCCUUCUUAUCUUCUAACAGGUAUCGAUAGUAAGAUUCCAGUUGAUAUGAACAGAGGCUUAAAGAAAAAAUUUACAGCAGAAGAAGUUUACGAAGCUUUGAAAGGUAUGGGUCCCACAAAAGCACCAGGUCAGGAUGGUUUUCCAGCGUUAUUCUUCAGAAAUUUUGGCACAUUGUAGGCAAGGAAGUUUGUUGAUUUCUGUUUGGGAAUUCUUAAUGAAGGUAAAAAUUUUGGUCUUUUCAAUCAAACAGAGAUUGUGCUGAUUCCAAAAAUCCCUAACCCAACUAGCUUAGCAGAUUUCAAACCUAUCAGUUUAUGUUCAGUCCUUUAUAAUGUGGUGGCAAAAACAAUUGCAAAUCAACUUCAAAUCUGUAUUGGUAGGUGUAUUGAUGAAGCUCAAAGUACAUUCAUCCCAGAAAGGCUUAUUACAGAUAAUGUGCUUCUUGCCUAUAAGAUUUUGCAUACAUUCAGACAAAAAAGAGGAGGGAAAAAAGGAUAUAUGGCCGUUAAACUCGAUAUGAGUAAAGCCUAUGAUAAGGUUGAAUGGGGCUAUUUAAAAGAAGUUAUGUUAUGCAUGGGUUUUGAUAUUGAAUGGGUAGAGUUGGUCAUGAAAUGCAUUUCUACUACGUCCUAUGUUGUAAAUACUAAUGGGGGUUGUGGGAGAAGCUUUAAGCCAACAAGAGGUUUGAAACAGGGAGAUCCUUUAAGCCCUUUUCUCUUUUUGAUGUGUAGUGAGGGAUUAUCAGCCUUGAUGAGAAUGGCAUCGAAGGAAAAGUUGUUAAAAAGAGCAAAGGCAAGUAGAAGAGGCCCAAAAAUUACACAUCUUCUCUUUGCAAAUGAUUGUAUUUUGUUUGGGGAAGCAACAGGAAGGGGGGCAAUGGUGCUAAAAGAAAUUUUGAAGGAAUAUGGUAAAAGUUCCGGUCAAUGCGUCAACUUUAACAAAUCUACUAUCUUCUACAGCACAAAUACUACAAAAGAUAAAAAGAACAAAGUCUCGACAAUUAUUGGGAUACAAACAUCAACAAAUAUGGAAAGAUAUCUAGGACUUCCAAAUGUGGUGGGCAGACGAAAAAAAGAAUCUUUUCAAUAUCACAAAGAGAAUUUACAACAGAAUCAAUGGGUUGAGCACCAGAAUGUUGUCGCAAGGAGGCAAGGAAGUUUUUUUGAAGUCGAUCCUGCAGGCUAUUCCAACAUAUGCAAUGUCGUGUUUUUUUGUUACCGAAGUCUUUUUGUAGAGAUUUAGAAGGCAUUUUUGCUAAGUUCUGGUGGCAAAAAGCUCAUGGGAGAAAAGGAAUUCAUUGGUGUAAAUGUACUUACUUGUGCCGGUCUAAAGGAGAAUGAGGCUUGGAAUUCAGAGAUUUGGCUAAAUUUAAUGUCUCCUUAUUAGCUAAACAGUGUUGGAGAAUUUUGACCUAUCCAGAUUCGUUAUUAGCAAGUUUUAAAAGCAAAAUAUUUCCCGAAUAAUAAUUUCCUAGAUUCAUGUUUGGGGAACAAUGCUUCGUAUAUGUGGAAAAGUAUUUGGGCUACAAAGAGUAUUUUAAAAGAAGGUAUGGGCUGGAGAGUAGGCAGGGGAGAACUAAUUACAGUUGGACGCAACAAUUGGAUCCCUGAUGUUGGAAGAAACAGAUUAUCAGCUAUAAUCACGAAUUUGAACGAUUGUAAAGUUGCCAAUCUAAUCAAUCAAAAUAACAGAACAUGGAAGGAAGAGUUGAUAAUUUCUACCUUUCGAGAGGAUGUAGCUGAGAAGAUUAUUGGUAUCCCAUUGGCAAAGGAUCCCCAUGAUGACUUCCGAGUCUGGAGUGCUGACGCAUCAGGUGAAUUCACAGUUCGCAGCUCCUAUAAACUAUUACAGAAUAUCUAGGAUGACCCUAGAGCUUAUGCUUUACAAGAAGGCUACAAGGAAUUCUACAGGAAAUUAUGGCUACUAAAUCUUCCCUUAAAAAUCAAAAUUACAAUCUGAAAGAUAUCGUGAAAUUUUUUACCUACACGAGUUAAUCUAGUUCAGAAAAAGCUAAUAAACAUUACAGUGUGUCCACGAUGUGGAGUUGGUUCAGAGAGUAUGAAUCACCUUUUCCACGAAUGCCCUGUGUCAAAAUCAGUAUGGAAGGAAUUACCAUGUAAUGCUAUGGUGCAAGAACAACAGAUGGAGUUUACAGAGUGGCUCACCGAAGUUUUUGCGAAGAACUCGGAAUCUCAGUGUAGGAUGUUUUGUUGUACUUUAUGGGCUAUAUGGGGAGACCGAAAUAAUAGAGUGCAUAAUAAAGUGAGCAAAUCUGGAAAAGAAAUAAGUAGAUUUGUUAGUAGCUACAUACAAGAGUUGGAUGGGAUAGGAAAAAGUAAAGCAGAAGCUUAUAAAUCUACAAGCAAAUGGAAGAAGCCACCUGACCAGAUUGUGAAGAUAAACUUUGAUGCAGCAUAUGACGGAAAGAGUAAGCAAUCGGCGGUGGGGAUUGUGGCUAGAGACAACGAAGGUAAGGUCUUACUCUCAUGCUCGAUGAUUUACCAAUAGGUGGCAUCCCCUUUUGCAGCAGAGGCGCUCGCAAGCCGGAAAGCGAUCAAAAUAGGUAAAGAAAUGAAAUGGAGAAAAAUCAUUAUUGAAGGAGAUUCACUAUCGAUAAUAAAGAAAUGCAGAUCUAAUAUCCCAGAUAAAUCAAAGGUGUGUGCCUAUAUCAGUGAUAUUCAUAAGCUACAAUCAAGUUUCCAGGAAUAUAGAUUUGAACAUGUUCCAAGAGCAGUAAACAGCCUUGCGCAUAUGAUAGAAAAAGCAACGUUGAGGGAUAAACGAAUAUUAUACCUGGUUGAGGGAGUCCCAGAAUAUGCAAAAGAUCAGAAUGGGAGGGAUCGGGGGGGGGGGGAAUCGGAUUGAAUGAUAGGGAUGAAAAUGAAAUGGGUAAACCGAGAGGUAGCAGGUAAAGCAAUGACAGAAUAAGGGGUUUCCUCGGGAGUAUGAUUUCAUCAUGAAGAAGUUUUGGCAGGUGAAGGAACAAGACGAUUAAAAGUUUUGAUGCUGAUUGGGAAAGAUUUUACAGCAGCAUUAAUGGCUUCCAGAAGGUUCAGUUAUGCUGCUUUUUAGGAUCUAAUGGUAGUAGCCUUUUGACGUUUCAGUUUUUUCAUUUUUUAUUGUUUUGUUUUGGUGAUAGGAUCAAGGCUCAAACCGGGCCUGGACUGGUUCUGUUUUUGUUUUUUCAUUUUUGAAUUCAAUAAUACAGC